rnacentral:SRP_RNA from 1 species
ACCGGGCGCGGUGGCACGUGCCUGUAGUCCCAGUUACUCAGGAGGCUGAGGUGGGAGGAUCACUUGAGCCCAGGAGUUCUGGGCUAUAGUGCACUAUGCCGAUCGGGUGUCCACACUAAGUUCGGCAUCAAUAUGGUGACCUCCCAGGAGUGGGGGACCACCAGGUUGCCUAAGGAGGGGUGAACCGGCCCAGGUUGGAAACGGAGCAGGUCAAAACUCCCGUGCUGAUCAGUAGUGGGAUCGCGCCUGUGAAUAGCCACUGCACUCCAGCCUGGGCAACAUAGCGAGACCCCGUCUCU